rnacentral:lncRNA from 10 species
CCCGCUUGCUUCCCUGCCCGCCCUGUGUGAUCUAACUGCAAGCCCUUUCCCUUAAGAGUUGGAGCCUGUUUGUCCAACCUUGUGAUCAUUUCCUUGUGGUCUCUUAGACAUCUUCUCAAGAUUAUGCUAAGAGAAAUGACUGCACCCUUUUCCUGAGCUAUGGCAGUCAGACCUGGCAGUGGUAACUACUCUACAGAACUCCCAAACCUGGCAAGGAUGGUGCAGAUUUUGGCAGAUUAUGGCUUUGUCCCCACCCAGCACUGAUGAUAUUAUAAAACCUAUACUACAAGAAAUGAUAAUGGAAGUUCUUCAACUGAGCAAGAAAUGAUAUUAACAGAAAACUUGGAUCUUCAGAAGCAAAUGAAGAACAUCAGA